CCAACCAAACAUGAGAAAAUAAGUCCAAAAUAUACUUGUUUUCCAGGAAAACAUUUUCUAGGAAAACAUUUUCCAUGGAAAACAUUUUCCUUCAUACCAAACACACCCUUAAAUACUCCAUUUUUUCCAAUUGCUCCCGUGAAGGUAGACGCUUGGAAAUGUUCUUGAGAUUCUUUAUUGUUCCUUUUAAUGGGGAGGACUAGUGCGAGAAGGGAGCGAGACCAAGCCAAGCCAUUUGUAGAGUAAGCCCUUCCCACAUAUCAAGUUGAAUAUAAAUAAAUGAAUGCAGUCUCAACCACGUGCUUGAAAAUUCUGAUCAGUAAUGUCAUCAUGAAGGGGUGCCUUUGGACAAGGUUAAAGUUGUCUCCAACCUAUAGGUCACGCAUAUCAUCUACGGUACAAUCAUUGAUGCUUGUGGAUUGGCUGCCUACAUUACAUCCCUUGGGGUGCCUCCUGCCCUAAACCCUAAAUUUCUAUCAAUUUGACUUUAGAUCCCUUAGAGGACAGUUGGCACACUUCCAGAUUCUCUUCUUUAUUUUGGUAAGUCAGUUCAAUACCAUUCUUAUCCAGAUGCUUUCUCAAAACGUGUUAAAUUUCACCAUGGACGCUUAAGUAGAAACAAUUAAAAACAGAAGCCUUACCUUUCAAAGCAGUGUAAUAUUAAAAAGUUAGAACACAGUUAUUCAAUCUGGGUAAUAAAUUUAGCUGAAGGAACUGCUCCCGAAGAAAAUCACUUUACUGAUGCUGUAUAUGAUAUUACUGUACUUUUGAUCCUAUAGCUCUGAUAGUUAAUUUUACUAAAGCAACCUUAAAUUUUUAAAGCUGUCACCUUACCGUAGCAUCAGAUGUUGUAGACUAGCAUGGAGAACUAAGAGAAGAAAUUGGAAGGGCUAUUAUAUUGAGCAUCCAAAAGAGGGCUUCUAUAUUGUGGUUAUCGGAGAUACUUGAAGACAAUAGCUGGAAGAUGUGAACAAUCUUAGAGAUUUCACACCAAGCUCGUAUAUUGUUGAGGCAGGUUGCUUGGGCAUAAUAUAAAGUUGAAUGAAGAAAGAACCAUGUGU